rnacentral:rRNA from 1 species
GAGUCUUAGCGGUGGAUCACUCGGCUCCUACAUCGGUGAAGAACUCAGCUAGCUGCAAGAAUUAAUGUGAAUUGCAGGACACAUUGAUCAUCAACACUUCGAACGCACUUGCAGCCCCGGCUUCCUCCCGGGGCUACGCCUGUCUGAGCGUCU